rnacentral:rRNA from 1 species
UACAGAGGAUGCAAGCGUUAUCCGGAUUUAUUGGGUUUAAAGGGUCCGUAGGCGGAUGUGUAAGUCAGUGGUGAAAUCUCACAGCUUAACUGUGAAACUGCCAUUGAUACUGCAUGUCUUGAGUAAGGUAGAAGUGGCUGGAAUAAGUAGUGUAGCGGUGAAAUGCAUAGAUAUUACUUAGAACACCAAUUGCGAAGGCAGGUCACUAUGUCUUAACUGACACUGAGAGACGAAAGCUAGGGGAGCGAAUGGG